rnacentral:rRNA from 1 species
AAUCUUCCACAAUGGGCGAAAGCCUGACGGAGCAACGCCGCGUGAGUGAAGAAGGUUUUCGGAUCGUAAAACUCUGUUGUAGGGGAAGAACAAAGACGCUAGUAACUGGCUGUACCUACACUGUACCUUAUUGGAAAACCACGGCUAACUACGCGCCAGCAGCCGCGGUAAUACGUAGGGGGCAAGCGUUGUCCGGAAUUAUUGGGCGUAAAGCGCACGAAGGCGGUCCUUUAAGUCUGAUGUGAAAGCCCACGGCUCAACCGUGGAGGGUCAUUGGAAACUGGGAGACUUGAGUGCAGAAGAGGAAAGUGGAAUUCCAAGUGUAGCGGUGAAAUGCGUAGAGAUUUGGAGGAACACCAGUGGCGAAGGCGACUUUCUGGUCUGUAACUGACGCUGAGGCGCGAAAGCGUGGGGAGCAAAC